GUGCUCUCCACAAACCCUAACCCUAGAAAAUGAAGAUCGGAUGAGAAUCGCAGUUUUGGUGCUUCAAGGUCUAAAGUUGAAUCAGAUUCUAUCAUCAAUCUACUGAUCCGGGUUGGUUGGAGAUGAAUAUGGUUACGAUGUUGUUCAGCUUCAGUUGUAGAUGGUUAUUGGAAAGUUUAAAGAGGAGCUAGUUUGAAUGUUUUGGGAAGAAGACAUAUCUCGAAAUAAGAGCAUUCAUAUUAGCUUCUCUAUCCUUAUCUAUAUAAUUUAACCAAAAACACAUUUCUUCUUCCAAUUUUUUGAUUAGAUAAAAAUCCCCUUUAUCUCAUUCUCUAUAUUUAUCUCUGUUUAAUUUAAUAAUACUUUAAAUCUCCCUUUUUAUCAUUUUUUUCUUUUUUUUCCCACUCACAACCACUCAAGAAUAUUAUAGAAAAUAAAUAUUAAAAUGAUGAUGAAUCCAUAGACUUAGAGAAUCACUUUUCAGCCUCAAUAAUUGGUCCUAUUUUAGAGGAGUAUUGUGAAGCAUGUAAAUACAAGAAUCCAGCAUUUUUUUUCCUAAAUUGUACAAACUAGAAUUGAGACCCGCCGCAAUGCGGCGGGGAUUCUUUAGUUAUGACUAAGUCGAUCUAGGACCCGCACGUUAUGUUAAACAUGUCAAACGGAGAAAAAUAGACGAUGUAAAAACGUUCACCCACGCACGCACAUUGCAUCAGGUUAACUCGCAAAAUUUAGAACGAAAUGUAAAAAGUUAAACCAAUGACGCACGUUGCGAUGUGUUAAGUCACAAAAUUUAGAACCAAGCAUAAAGCAAAAAAAUUGCGGAAAAUGAAAACUGUAAAGGACCAAAGUUGAAAGUAAAAAAAGUUGUGAGGAUAGAUUGAAAAAGAUAAAAAGUUUUGGGUUAAAAG
rnacentral:lncRNA from 1 species